rnacentral:tRNA from 1 species
ACCAUCAUCAGGUGGUGGCCGGCCUCGUGCUUCGCGUGCGCGAUGAGCUUCUGGCCCACGUCGUUCAGGCCCACCUUGACGGUG